AGAGUUUGAUCCUGGCUCGAGGACGAACGCUGGCGGCGUGCUUAACACAUGCAAGUCGAACGGGGCUGAUUAGCUUGCUAAGAAAGCCCAGUGGCAAACGGGUGAGUAACGCGUAGGCAACCUGCCGGAAAGAUGGGGACAACACCCCGAAAGGGGUGCUAAUACCGAAUGACGCAAGAAGGACGCAUGUUCUUCCUGCCAAAGGGCGAAAGCCCGCUUUCCGAUGGGCCUGCGUCCGAUUAGCUGGUUGGCGGGACAGCAGCCCACCAAGGCGACGAUCGGUAGCCGGUCUGAGAGGAUGAACGGCCACAUUGGGACUGAGACACGGCCCAGACUCCUACGGGAGGCAGCAGUGGGGAAUCUUCCGCAAUGGGCGAAAGCCUGACGGAGCAACGCCGCGUGAGUGAAGAAGGCCUUCGGGCCGUAAAGCUCUGUUGUCGGGGACGAGUGCCCGGGUUGAAAGCCCGGGAGGGACGGUACCCGACGAGGAAGCCGCGGCCAACUACGUGCC
rnacentral:rRNA from 1 species